rnacentral:tRNA from 1 species
GGGGCCGUAGCCCAACCGGCAGAGGCAACCGUUUUAGGGGCGGUCCAGUGCGGGUUCGAAUCCCGCCGGCCCUA